GUAGGUGGCAAGCGUUGUCCGGAAUUAUUGGGCGUAAAGCGCGCGCAGGCGGUUCUUUAAGUCCGAUGUGAAAGCCCACGGCUCAACCGUGGAGGGUCAUUGGAAACUGGAGAACUUGAGUACAGAAGAGGAAAGCGGAAUUCCACGUGUAGCGGUGAAAUGCGUAGAGAUGUGGAGGAACACCAGUGGCGAAGGCGGCUUUCUGGUCUGUAACUGACGCUGAGGCGCGAAAGCGUGGGGAGCAAACAGGGAUUAGAUACCCUGGUAGUCCACGCCGUAAACGAUGAGUGCUAAGUGUUAGGGGGUUUCCGCCCCCUUAGUGCUGCAGCUAACGCAUUAAGCACUCCGCCUGGGGAGUACGGCCGCAAGGCUG
rnacentral:rRNA from 1 species